UAAUACAGGGGAUACAAGUGUUAUCCGGAAUUAUUGGGCGUAAAGCGUUUGUAGGUUGAAAGAAAAGUCUUUUGUUAAAUCUUUAAGCUUAACUUAAAAACUGCAAAAGAAACUCUUUUUCUAGAGUAUGGUAAAGGUAAAGGGAAUUUUCAAAGAAGCGGUGAAAUGCGUUGAUAUUGAAAGGAACACCAAUAGCGAAAGCACUUUACUGGGCUAUUACUGACACUGAGAAACGAAAGCUAGGGGAGCAAACAGGAUUAGAUACCCUGGUAGUCCUAGCUGUAAACGAUGGAUACUAGAUGUUAUAUAAAAUUCAAUAAAUAUAGUGUCGUAGCUAACGCGUUAAGUAUCCCGCCUGGGAAGUACGCUCGCAAGAGUGAAACUCAAAUGAAUUGACGG
rnacentral:rRNA from 1 species